rnacentral:rRNA from 1 species
GAUGAACGCUGGCGGCGUGCCUAACACAUGCAAGUCGAGCGAUUUACUUCGGUAAAGAGCGGCGGACGGGUGAGUAACGCGUGGGUAACCUGCCCUAUACACACGGAUAACAUACCGAAAGGUAUGCUAAUACGAGAUAAUAUAAGAGAUUCACAUGGAUUUCUUAUCAAAGCUGAGGCGGUAUAGGAUGGACCCGCGUCUGAUUAGCUAGUUGGUAAGGUAACGGCUUACCAAGGCGACGAUCAGUAGCCGACCUGAGAGGGUGAUCGGCCACAUUGGAACUGAGACACGGUGCAAACUCCUACGGGAGGCGGCAGUGGGGAAUAUUGCACAAUGGGCGAAAGCCUGAUGCAGCAACGCCGCGUGAGUGAUGAAGGCCUUCGGGUCGUAAAACUCCGUCCUCAAGGAAGAUAAUGACGGUACUUGAGGAGGAAGCCCCGGCUAACUACGUGCCAGCCGCCGCGGUAAAAC